rnacentral:rRNA from 1 species
AAAUUGAAGAGUUUGAUCAUGGCUCAGAUUGAACGCUGGCGGCAGGCCUAACACAUGCAAGUCGGGCGGUAACACAGGGAGCUUGCUCCCGGGUGACGAGCGGCGGACGGGUGAGUAAUGUCUGGGAAACUGCCUGAUGGAGGGGGAUAACUACUGGAAACGGUAGCUAAUACCGCAUAACGUCGCAAGACCAAAGAGGGGGACCUUCGGGCCUCUUGCCAUCAGAUGUGCCCAGAUGGGAUUAGCUAGUAGGUGGGGUAACGGCUCACCUAGGCGACGAUCCCUAGCUGGUCUGAGAGGAUGACCAGCCACACUGGAACUGAGACACGGUCCAGACUCCUACGGGAGGCAGCAGUGGGGAAUAUUGCACAAUGGGCGCAAGCCUGAUGCAGCCAUGCCGCGUGUAUGAAGAAGGCCUUCGGGUUGUAAAGUACUUUCAGCGGGGAGGAAGGUGUUGUGGUUAAUAACCACAGCAAUUGACGUUACCCGCAGAAGAAGCACCGGCUAACUCCGUGCCAGCAGCCGCGGUAAUACGGAGGGUGCAAGCGUUAAUCGGAAUUACUGGGCGUAAAGCGCACGCAGGCGGUCUGUCAAGUCGGAUGUGAAAUCCCCGGGCUCAACCUGGGAACUGCAUUCGAAACUGGCAGGCUAGAGUCUUGUAGAGGGGGGUAGAAUUCCAGGUGUAGCGGUGAAAUGCGUAGAGAUCUGGAGGAAUACCGGUGGCGAAGGCGGCCCCCUGGACAAAGACUGACGCUCAGGUGCGAAAGCGUGGGGAGCAAACAGGAUUAGAUACCCUGGUAGUCCACGCCGUAAACGAUGUCGACUUGGAGGUUGUGCCCUUGAGGCGUGGCUUCCGGAGCUAACGCGUUAAGUCGACCGCCUGGGGAGUACGGCCGCAAGGUUAAAACUCAAAUGAAUUGACGGGGGCCCGCACAAGCGGUGGAGCAUGUGGUUUAAUUCGAUGCAACGCGAAGAACCUUACCUACUCUUGACAUCCAGAGAACUUAGCAGAGAUGCUUUGGUGCCUUCGGGAACUCUGAGACAGGUGCUGCAUGGCUGUCGUCAGCUCGUGUUGUGAAAUGUUGGGUUAAGUCCCGCAACGAGCGCAACCCUUAUCCUUUGUUGCCAGCGGUCCGGCCGGGAACUCAAAGGAGACUGCCAGUGAUAAACUGGAGGAAGGUGGGGAUGACGUCAAGUCAUCAUGGCCCUUACGAGUAGGGCUACACACGUGCUACAAUGGCGCAUACAAAGAGAAGCGACCUCGCGAGAGCAAGCGGACCUCAUAAAGUGCGUCGUAGUCCGGAUUGGAGUCUGCAACUCGACUCCAUGAAGUCGGAAUCGCUAGUAAUCGUAGAUCAGAAUGCUACGGUGAAUACGUUCCCGGGCCUUGUACACACCGCCCGUCACACCAUGGGAGUGGGUUGCAAAAGAAGUAGGUAGCUUAACCUUCGGGAGGGCGCUUACCACUUUGUGAUUCAUGACUGGGGUGAAGUCGUAACAAGGUAACCGUAGGGGAACCUGCGGUUGGAUCACCUCCUUACCUUAAAGAA